GAUGAAGAACGCAGCGAAAUGCGAUAAGUAGUGUGAAUUGCAGAAUUCAGUGAAUCAUCGAAUCUUUGAACGCACAUUGCGCCCCUUGGUAUUCCAUGGGGCAUGCCUGUUCGAGCGUCAUUUGUACCUUCAAGCUCUGCUUGGUGUUGGGUGUUUGUCUCGCCUCUGCGUGUAGACUCGCCUCAAAACAAUUGGCAGCCGGCGUAUUGAUUUCGGAGCGCAGUAUAUCUCGCGCUUUGCACUCAUAACGACGACGUCCAAAAGUACAUUUUUACACUCUUGACCUCGGAUCAGGUAGGGAUACCCGCUGAACUUAAGCAUAUCAAUAAGCGGAGGA
rnacentral:misc_RNA from 1 species